GAUGAACGCUGGCGGCGUGCCUAAUACAUGCAGUCGAGCGAACAGAUAAGGAGCUUGCUCCUUUGACGUUAGCGGCGGACGGGUGAGUAACACGUGGGUAACCUACCUAUAAGACUGGAAUAACUCCGGGAAACCGGGGCUAAUGCCGGAUAACAUUUAGAACCGCAUGGUUCUAAAGUGAAAGAUGGUUUUGCUAUCACUUAUAGAUGGACCCGCGCCGUAUUAGCUAGUUGGUAAGGUAACGGCUUACCAAGGCAACGAUACGUAGCCGACCUGAGAGGGUGAUCGGCCACACUGGAACUGAGACACGGUCCAGACUCCUACGGGAGGCAGCAGUAGGGAAUCUUCCGCAAUGGGCGAAAGCCUGACGGAGCAACGCCGCGUGAGUGAUGAAGGUCUUCGGAUCGUAAAACUCUGUUAUUAGGGAAGAACAAAUGUGUAAGUAACUGUGCACGUCUUGACGGUACCUAAUCAGAAAGCCACGGCUAACUACGUG
rnacentral:rRNA from 1 species